AUGUCAACUGGUGAAAUAGUUGCUGUGAAGGUGCUGGCAACUGAUUCAAAGCAAGGGGAGCGAGAAUUUGAAACAGAGGUUAAGCUGUUAGGAAGGUUGCAUCACAGGAACCUCUUGAAUUUGCUUGGAUAUUGUACAGAGAAGGG